GGGCCCAUCGUCUAAUAGGAUAGGACAGGGGCUUCCUAAGCCCCCAAUGCGGGUUCAAUCCCUGCUGGGCUCA
rnacentral:tRNA from 1 species